rnacentral:rRNA from 1 species
GUCCACGCCGUAAACUAUGGAUGCUAGCCGUUGGCGGGUUUACCCGGCAGUGGCGCAGCUAACGCAUUAAGCAUCCCGCCUGGGGAGUACGGUCGCAAGAUUAAAACUCAAAGGAAUUGACGGGGCCCGCACAAGCGGUGGAGCAUGUGGUUUAAUUCGAAGCAACGCGCAGAACCUUACCAGCUUUUGACAUGUCCCGUUUGGGCUCCAGAGAUGGGGUCCUUCAGUUCGGCUGGCGGGAACACAGGUGCUGCAUGGCUGUCGU